GUCUGUGGCCAUGCCACCCUGAAUGCGCCCAAUCCCGUCUGAUUUCGGAAGCUCAGCAGGGUUGGGCCUGGUUAGUACUUGGAUGGGAGGCCACCCAGGAAGACCAGGUGCUGUAGGAG
ensembl:rRNA 5S_rRNA 5S ribosomal RNA